rnacentral:lncRNA from 1 species
GCAUCAACGACUAACUGCUUGUGAUGAAGGUACUUGGUCCUCCCUUGGUUGGACUUGGAACCUUGGUCUUGAUCCUUAUUCUCUCUUCGCAGACCAAAAUUCAGAAUUCCAAGUCCUUCUCUCACUUUUUCACUCCAUAUCUCUAGAUCCUCUCAUUCGAGACACUUCAAUUUGGUGGUUGAACGCGACAAGAUUUUCUUCAAAAUCAGCUUACAAAAUUCGGUAUGUUGCUUUUGUUGUUGUUUCUUUGCAGGUUCUAAAUCAAGCUACGACUUUGGCAAUUUUGUGGAAAACCUUGGGUCCAACUAACAUUCACUUCUUUUCUUGGCGAUUGUUUUUGCGUAGAUUUCCAACAAGGGACGAACUAGCCAAUAAAGGAAAUCUAGUUGAAGCCCACAACCUUGUUUAUACCCUUUGCUUGGGUCAAGUGGAAGAUUUAAACCACCUUUUUCUCUUCUGUCUGGUAUCUUCUCAAGUGUGGUUUUCUAUUAUGUUGGUUGGGAUUGGAUUCACUUCCUACCCAAGAUGAUAUUCUUUCCCACUUCAUUGCCUUCGAUACAUGUUACAUAGGCAAGAAAAAAAAACUCUGUCUUCUUCCUUGAUUGGCUGUCGUCUGGUGCAUUUAGCAUAUUAGAAAUGAGACGCUUUUUAAAGAGGAUCAUAAAGGUGUAUUCGAAAUUGUUUCGCUAGCUAAAAAAUUGGAUUGAGAUUAACUUGAUGUUAGGCACAUUUUGUUGUUAGCUUGGAGGAUUGGAAUCAUAAUCUUAUAAUUUGUUUUACGUCAUUUUUCGGUUGUUUGUUGGAUUUUUCUCUUUUAUUGUAUCGUAUGGGUUGAGUACCCUUAAUAUUUAAUUUUAAUACAAUAGUUUACUUAUAAAAA